rnacentral:rRNA from 1 species
UUCCAGACUCCUACGGGAGCCAGCAGUGAGGAAUAUUGGUCAAUGGCCGAGAGGCUGAACCAGCCAAGUCGCGUGAGGGAAGAAUGUCCUAUGGAUUGUAAACCUCUUUUGUCAGGGAGCAAAGUCACCCACGUGUGGGUGUUGGAGAGUACCUGAAGAAAAAGCAUCGGCUAACUCCGUGCCAGCAGCCGCGGUAAUACGGAGGAUGCGAGCGUUAUCCGGAUUUAUUGGGUUUAAAGGGAGCGUAGGCCGGCUUUUAAGUCAGCUGUGAAAGUCCGCGGCUCAACCGUGGAAUUGCAGUUGAAACUGGAGGCCUUGAGUGCACACAGGGAUGCCGGAAUUCAUGGUGUAGCGGUGAAAUGCUUAGAUAUCAUGAAGAGCUCCGAUCGCGAAGGCAAGUGUCCGGGGUGCAACUGACGCUGAGGCUCGAAAGUGCGGGUAUCAAACAGGAUUAGAUACCCCCGUAU